rnacentral:miRNA from 14 species
CUGCCUGAAAAUUUGUCUCAAACCU